rnacentral:rRNA from 1 species
GAUGAACGCUAGCUACAGGCUUAACACAUGCAAGUCGCGGGGCAGCAUGGGGGUUGCUUGCAAUCCCCGAUGGCAACCGGCGCACGGGUGAGUAACGCGUAUCCAACCUGCCCUUCACCACGGGAUAACCCGGCGAAAGUCGGACUAAUACCGUAUGUUGUCCAUUGACGGCAUCCGAUUUGGACGAAAGGCUUGGCGGUGAGGGAUGGGGAUGCGUCCGAUUAGCCAGACGGCGGGGUAACGGCCCACCGUGGCUACGAUCGGUAGGGGUUCUGAGAGGAAGGUCCCCCACACUGGAACUGAGACACGGUCCAGACUCCUACGGGAGGCAGCAGUGAGGAAUAUUGGUCAAUGGGCGUAAGCCUGAACCAGCCAAGUAGCGUGCAGGAUGACGGCCCUAUGGGUUGUAAACUGCUUUUAUGCGGGGAUAAAGUGGCCCACGUGUGGGCUUUUGCAGGUACCGCAUGAAUAAGGACCGGCUAAUUCCGUG